GAUGAACGCUAGCGGCAGGCCUAACACAUGCAAGUCGAGGGGCAGCAUAAAAUUAGCUUGCUAAUUUGGUGGCGACCGGCGCACGGGUGCGUAACGCGUAUGCAACCUACCUUAUACUGGGGGAUAGCCCGGAGAAAUUCGGAUUAAUACCCCAUAGCAUUAUUGGAUCGCAUGGUUUGAUAAUUAAAGGUUACGGUAUAAGAUGGGCAUGCGUCCUAUUAGCUAGAUGGUGAGGUAACGGCUCACCAUGGCGACGAUAGGUAGGGGCCUGAGAGGGUGGUCCCCACACUGGUACUGAGACACGGACCAGACUCCUACGGGAGGCAGCAGUGAGGAAUAUUGGUCAAUGGGCGCAAGCCUGAACCAGCCAUGCCGCGUGCAGGACGACUGCCCUAUGGGUGUAAACUUCUUUUGUAUAGGGAUAAACCUUUCCACGUGUGGAAAGCUGAAGGUACUAUACGAAUAAGCACCGGCUAACUCCGUGCCAGCAGCCG
rnacentral:rRNA from 1 species